ensembl:lncRNA
GGUUCCUGUAUACCUUCCAUUAAAUGAUGCCCAUCUGUGAUCACCACAUGGUGAUGGUGCUGGAAGGUUUUAGAUUCUACAGUCUCUACGUGAAAACUAUGGAAUGCUUCAAUACUGCUCCAAGAAGGUUGGAACUACUAGAUGUUUUUAUAAUGCAGUUCACAGGGAUUUUGUGACUUACCAUCUUUUUCAUAUGAAGGCAAAUGGAGGGAGAAGAAAUGGAAGCAGCGUCAGAUUUAAAUUCUUGGCCUCAAAGAUGGCUGCAGAUGAUAACUACACUCAUGAAAUUAAAAGACACUUUCUUCUUGGAAAGAAAAAAACUAUGGCAAAUCAGGGCAGCAUACUAAAAAGCAGAGACAUCACCUUGCUGGCAAAGAUCAAAACUAUGUGUUGCAGUUUUUGUUUUUCCCAGUAGCAAUGGAUGGCUGUGAGUUGGACUAUCAGAAAAACUGAGAACCACAUAAUUAAGACUUUGGAAUUGUGGUGUUGGAGAAAUCUUCUAAGAAGAGUAUCUUGGGAAACAAGGAGGUAAAUUCAGUAAAUAUUUAAAGAAAUUAAUUCAUACUAUUUAUUUGAAGGUCAAAUACUUAAACUUGUGAGAAGAUAGGAUUUAUUGGAAAAGGUCUGAGGCUGGGAAAUGAAAUUAAUUCCAUUAUUUAAGUAUCAGUGUGAAGAUUUAUUAGGAAGAUAUUGUACAUUUUCAGUAUCUUUUUCCCCCAAAGGAAAAUGUAUAUUAAAAGUACUACAUUAAGAGAAACUUAUUCUUAUUAUCAAGUAAUCAAUUUCAUUGUCAAACUAGUCACUAAGACUUGCCAUUAUUUUUUCUCAGGCACCAAAAUCAAUAAUCUUCAAAAAAUCAUGGAACCAGCUAGGUGGCUCAGUGAAUUAAUAGCUAGAGCUAGAGUCAGAAAGUCCUGGGUUCAAAUCUAGAAUCAGAUACUUCCAGCUAUAUGACCCUGGACAAGUCACUUAAUCCCUAGUACUCUUCUGCCUUGGAACCAAUACAUAGGCUUGAGUCAAAGAUAGAAGGCAUGGGAUUUUUAAAAGUCCUCUUUAUUCUGAGCUGCUAGGUGGUAAAAUAGAGCUCUGGAUGUAGUCAGGAAGACCUCAGUACAAAUCUAAUCUCAAGCACUUAUUUUCUGUGUGAUCCUGUGCAAGUCACUUUAUCUAUGUUUGACUCAGAUCCUCAACUCUAAAAUAAGGAUGAUAACAGCACCCACCUCCCAGAGUUGCUGUGAGGAUAAACUGAGGUAAAAUCAUUCCCUUAUGGCACAGAUACCUCCCCUCUGCUUUUCAGCUCUCUUUUGUAUAUUUUCUCCCAUAAGAUCAGGAACUCUUUGAGGAUAAGGACCGCUUUCCUUUGUGUGUGUGUGUGUGUGUGUGUGUGUGUGUGUGUGUGUGUGUGUGUGUGUGUGUGUGUGUGUGUGUAUCCCCAGCAUUUACCACAGUGCCUGAAACGCAGUAAUUGCUUGCCAUUUCUUUAUUGAAUUGAAUGGGAUUGAAGUAAUAUAGUUCUAUUCCCAUGUCCUGGACAGUCAAGCUUUGUAUGCUGGAGCAGGAGAUGCUCGAUUGCCCUGAGAAGAGUAACUAGCAUAUUUUUUGUGAUUACAUGAAGGCAACCUCUUUCUCACUAGACACUAAUGCUAGAAAUUCCUAACAAUCAGGAGUUUUUCAAAGGCAUAGAGAGAGUGAGUGAUAACAUGGUUACUUAAUUCAUGUUUAAUUUUCAAAUAAAGAAAUAUUCUAUCAGUGCA